GAUGAAGAACGCAGCGAAAUGCGAUACGUAAUGUGAAUUGCAAAUUCAGUGAAUCAUCGAGUCUUUGAACGCACAUUGCGCCCCCUGGUAUUCCGGGGGGCAUGCCUGUCCGAGCGUCAUUGCUGCCCUCAAGCACGGCUUGUGUGUUGGGCCCCGUCCUCCGAUCCCGGGGGACGGGCCCGAAAGGCAGCGGCGGCACCGCGUCCGGUCCUCGAGCGUAUGGGGCUUUGUCACCCGCUCUGUAGGCCCGGCCGGCGCUUGCCGAUCAACCCAAAUUUUUAUCCAGGUUGACCUCGGAUCAGGUAGGGAUACCCGCUGAACUUAAGCACAUCAAUAAGCGGAGGA
rnacentral:misc_RNA from 1 species